CUGCAUGCUGGGAGCAGGAGGGUGUGUGUGUGGGUGUGGGUGUGGGUGUGUGUGUGUGUGUGUGUGUGUGUGUGUGGUCAUUUUAGUUGAUUGACGGGUGCGGUCUAACCUCUGGUGUUUAAUCUUCCUGAAUGUGGUUUUGAGGAAGAAGAAAUUAAGCUGUAAAGUGUGAUUCUUCAUGUCCGUCAUGACUCGUCAAACUGUUGGUCCGUCCGUCAACACGUCCACCUUCCCGUCUGCGUUCCAUUGGUUCCUCCCCAAAGACGGUUGUCUUUUAAAAUGUUAAAAGUUAUCCUCCUAGUUUUUAGGUUUAAUCUAACCGCAGGAAAUGGAGAUUUUUUUGGGGACUAUUUUCAGCGGCGGAUGGAUCCACACUUCAUAAAAUAUAGAAUAAACAACAACGUGGAACAUUUAAAUGACACUGCUUCUGGUUUGAGUCUGAACAUGAAGACACAUUGACAGGAAUCGUUCAUUAAUCAAAUGAAUAAUGAUGAUGAUGAUGAUGAAGGUGAAGGUGACUUCUGAGGGUGUCGACCAUGUUGUCUCUGUCUCACCUGGUCCUCCUCUCCACAGAAAACCCUUCCUGCGAACCCUGGCAGCCACUCAGUGGGAGAAGAAGAGAAGAAGUACACGCCUCAGCCAGUCCAGGCUGUCCUCGUCUGAUGACAUCAUCCCUCCAGGCCUGCAGCCUGCAGAGGGGGCCAACAGCGUCCCCACUGAAGGGCGACCUCGUCCGAUUUCCACCUCCAGCAGUUUGGACACCAACAGAAACUCUGACUCCCAGAAGGAUCCCGCGUCUGCAUUCCAACAGCAGAGCAGUACUCUGUCCACAAACGAGAAGUUGUACUCCAAGACCUCCAGCUCAGGACCUCAGAGCCCCAGGGCAGCCGCUGCUGCUUCCAACGCCAGCGAAGAAGAAGCCGCCUUCCUGCCCGGUGGAGAUCUGGGAGGACGUGGUCGUGUUUUCGAGCGACUCUCCAACUUCACAACCCGCUCAGUGGAGCCGCCCAAUGAGAGUAGAGCAUCGCGCAGGGCGGAGCUAGAAGGGCUGGAAGGCUCCGCCCAGGCGGCACUGGCCCGCCUUGCUGAAGAACAACAGACCCGUCACCUUCGGCAGCAGAGCAGCGUGGACCUGGACAGCAAUGGCCGCCGUCUGGAGAUGACCCCGAUCACCCCGCUGGGCCCCGGGGGCCCCCCUGAUGCCUGGGACCAGCUGCAGCCCAGUACCGCUGCCUUGCGCAUCAAAGACCUGGAUUUCUCCGACCUGCUGGACGAGGAGGACAUUGAUGUGCUGGACAUGGACUCCUUGGACUCGUCCUCCUCCUGCUUCUCCGGGGUCCCUCCUCCUCCAACGGGCCUAGGUGUUCCCCCUCCUCCUCCUCCUCCUCCUCCACCCGGCCUAGGUGUUCCUCCUCCACCUCCUCC
ensembl:lncRNA